GACGAACGCUGGCGGCGUGCCUAAUACAUGCAAGUCGAGCGGACCAAAGGGAGCUUGCUCCUGGAGGUUAGCGGCGAACGGGUGAGUAACACGUGGGCAACCUGCCUGUAAGACUGGGAUAACAUCGAGAAAUCGGUGCUAAUACCGGAUAAUAAAAAGAACUGCAUGGUUCUUUUUUGAAAGAUGGUUUCGGCUAUCACUUACAGAUGGGCCCGCGGCGCAUUAGCUAGUUGGUGAGGUAACGGCUCACCAAGGCGACGAUGCGUAGCCGACCUGAGAGGGUGAUCGGCCACACUGGGACUGAGACACGGCCCAGACUCCUACGGGAGGCAGCAGUAGGGAAUCUUCCACAAUGGACGAAAGUCUGACGGAGCAACGCGCGUGAGUGAUGAAGGUUUUCGGAUCGUAAAACUCUGUUGUUAGGGAAGAACAAGUGCCGUUCGAAAGGGCGGCACCUUGACGGUACCUAACGAGAAAGCCACGGCUAACUACGUGCCAGCAGCCGCGGU
rnacentral:rRNA from 1 species